GAAAUGCGAUAAUUAAUGUGAAUUGCAGAAUUCAGUGAAUCAUCGAGUCUUUGAACGCACAUUGCGCCCCCUGGUAUUCCGGGGGGCAUGCCUGUCCGAGCGUCAUUGCUGCCCUCAAGCACGGCUUGUGUGUUGGGCUUCCGUCCCUGGCAACGGGGACGGGCCCAAAAGGCAGUGGCGGCACAAUGUCUGGUCCUCGAGCGUAUGGGGCUUUGUCACCCGCUCCCGUAGGUCCAGCUGGCAGCUGGCCUCGCAACCAAUCUUUUUAACCAGGUUGACCUCGGAUCAGGUAGGGAUACCCGCUGAACUUAAGC
rnacentral:misc_RNA from 1 species